CGCUGGGUGAUCUCUUCUGAUCCAACCGUGUAGAAAUAAUGUAAACAAACUCCUCGAAAACACUCUCACACUGGCGACCCACUCGUCAGAGAGACCUCAAAAACGAAGAUCCAAACCCUAGCAAGAAAAUAUAAAGAACGAAGAAGAAGAGAAAGUUCUAAGCUCCGAUCAUGGCGUUCUCUUCCCGUCUCUUAUCCAGAUCCAAACAGCUUUAUGGCAGUCGUGCCAUUCUGCAACAGGAGCCGGAGCGUGUUAUCCCAGUCCGUUACUUUGCCAAAAAAGCUGAUCCUUCAGCUCUCAAGGGAGAUGAGAUGCUAAAGAACAUCUUUCUGGAUGUCAAGAAGAAAUUUGAGACAGCCAUCGCAAUACUUAGGAAGGAGAAGAUCACCAUAGAUCCUGAGGAUCCAGCUGCUGUGAAUCAAUAUGCAAAGGUCGUGAAGACAAUUAGAGACAAGGCUGAUUUGUUCUCUGAGUCACAGAGAAUAAAAUACACCAUCGAGACGCGAACUAAGGAUAUUCCAGAUGCUCGGACAUAUUUGUUGACAUUGAAGGAAAUACGAAUUAAGAGAGGUCUCACAGAUGAACUUGGUGCAGAAGCUAUGAUGAUGGAUGCUUUGGAGAAAGUUGAAAAGGAAAUCAAGAAACCUCUCAUGAGGAGCGAUAAGAAAGGAAUGGCUCUUCUAAUGACAGA
rnacentral:misc_RNA from 1 species